CUUAAAAUUUCUCUAUAAAAAAAGUGCUUCUCUCUAGAUGGAGAAGCUAAAAAAUUCUCCUUUUCUUCUGCUGUAACUGCUUUUGGAUAAAAAUUGACCAAAUACCCUUGUCUUCUCCCCCAAACGUUUUUCCCCUCUACUGGUUCCCUAAAUGUUCUUUCCCCUCUGCUGGUGAAAUUGGAGCUUUAUACCCGAUUUCUUUCCCCAUUUUCGGCUUUCAAAGCUCUAUUUUUUGUUCUUUGUUCCUCUUCCGCAGCAGCUUAUUCUCAAUCAACCUAUUCUGGAAUUCCUUGGUUCUUGGACUUGACAAAGUAAAUCCCAGAUGAGUACUUCGGCGGUUGAAGUUAGUGGUGAAACGGUGAAAGCAAUGUGGGAUAAGAGAUUGACAAAAAUAUUUUAUGAUAUUUGUAUUAAAGAGAUAUUGAAAGGCAAUAGGCCUGGUACUCAUUUUACAAAAGAUGGAUGGUUGAAAAUAAUGACCAACUUUGAGAAAGAAACGGGAAAGGGUUUUUCACAAAGACAACUUAAAAAUAGGUGGGAUGCCCUAAAAAAAGAAUGGAAAGCUUGGAAGAAACUUAAAGGCGAAGAUAUUGGUCUAGGGUGGAAUCCUAUAAAAAGAACUGUUGAUGCAUCGGAUGAUUGGUGGGAGAG